rnacentral:rRNA from 1 species
UCACCUAGCGGCGAACGGGUGAGUAACACGUGGGCAACCUGCCCUCAGCUCUGGGAUAACCCCCGGAAACGGGAGCUAAUACCGGAUAUGACCUCUUUGGACAUCCUUCGAGGUGGAAAGAAUUUCGGCUGAGGAUGGGCCCGCGGCCUAUCAGCUUGUUGGUGGGGUAAUGGCCUACCAAGGCGACGACGGGUAGCCGGCCUGAGAGGGCGACCGGCCACACUGGGACUGAGACACGGCCCAG